GCCCCCAUCGUCUAGAGGCCCAGGACAUCGCCCUUUCACGGCGGCGACAGGGGUUCGAAUCCCCUUGGGGGUGCCA
rnacentral:tRNA from 1 species